rnacentral:rRNA from 1 species
GAUCCUGGCUCAGGAUGAACGCUGGCGGUGUGCUUAACACAUGCAAGUCGAACGAAGCACUUGAGAUUGAUUCUUCGGAAGAUUUCUCUUGUGACUUAGUGGCGGACGGGUGAGUAACGCGUGGGUAACCUGCCUCACACAGGGGGAUAACAGUUGGAAACGACCGCUAAUACCGCAUAACCCGCUAGGGCCGCAUGGCCCGGACGGAAAAGAUUUAUCGGUGUGAGAUGGACCCGCGUUGGAUUAGCUAG